CCCUUAGACGUUCUGGGCCGCACGCGCGCUACACUGACACAGGCAACGAGCUUUCCUUUACCGAAAGGUAUGGGUAAUCUUUUGAAACUGUGUCGUGCUGGGGAUAGAUCCUUGCAAUUUUUGAUCUUAAACGAGGAAUUCCUAGUAAGCGCGAGUCAUCAACUCGCGUCGAUUACGUCCCUGCCCUUUGUACACACCGCCCGUCGCUACUACCGAUUGAAUGGCUUAGUGAGGCCUCAGGAUCCGCGCUUAAUGUGUGGAGAAUUUGGACAAACUACGUCAUUUAGAGGAAGUAAAAGUCGUAACA
rnacentral:rRNA from 1 species